rnacentral:lncRNA from 1 species
GCCCUGUUUUUUUAGUGACAAUCUGAACAUAUGUAGUUGAUUUACAUUAUUUGAUCGCCCUGUAAUAUUUUCUGUCAUGGUUACUACGAGCUUGAAUAUAGAAUAAGCAGCAUAUCUAUUUAAUAUAUGCAAUACAAUUUUGUGCAUUAGUUUGUACCUGCAUUUGCACAGGUGCAUGUGAUUAUUCAGGUCAGAUUGUCCAUGUGUUCUGUUUGCCACCAAAGUUAGAUGCCUCUCCUCAUUUUCAGAUUAUGAUUUGAAGUCUUGUUUGAAUAGUCCUAUUUGUAUUUCAU